UGAAUGAGGGAAGUUGUUGCUCGUGGUGCUCUUGUGUGCUCUUGUGUCGAGAGGCGACGGAGAAAUUUUUUUUUUUUUUUGGAAAGCCAUAAUUUUUUUUUUUUUACUUACUAAUUUUGUAUGGAAAUAAGCUCACAUUAGUGCAGUGUCCUAGAAUGAUGUGACCAGGGAAUAACUAUGGUUGAUACUACACUUGUUGAAGGUGCGCUAAAAUUCCGGGAUGGAAAGAAGUGGAAACAACGAUGGGCUGUCCUGGACAAGCUGUCUCCCGUGGCAGACGUGUUGCAGCUGCAGUUGUACCGGGACAGCCGCGACCGGGCGAAGGGAGCGGCCACCAAGGCGUCUCUCGCGCUGCAGAACGUCCUCGCCCUCGAGACAGGUGA